rnacentral:rRNA from 1 species
GAUGAACGCUGGCGGCGUGCCUAAUACAUGCAAGUCGAGCGAAGCGGGGACGGGUGAGUAACACGUGGAUAACCUCCUAUAAGACUGGGAUAACUUCGGGAAACCGGAGCUAAACCGGAUACUUAGAGAUGGAUCCUCGCUGGAUUAGCUAGUUGGUAAGGUAACGGCUUACCAAGGCAACGAUGCAUAGCGGACCGGAGAGGGGGAUCGGCCACACUGGAACUGAGACACGGUCCAGACUCCUACGGGAGGCAGCAGUAGGGAAUCUUCGGCAAUGGGCGAAAGCCUGACGGAGCAACGCCGCGUGAGUGAAGAAGGUCUUCGGAUCGUAAAACUCUGUUAUUAGGGAAGCGUUACCUACUCAGAAAGCAACGGCUAACUACGUGCCAGCAGCCGCGGUAAUUC